rnacentral:rRNA from 1 species
UACGUAGGGGCCGAGCGUUGUCCGGAGUUAUUGGGCGUAAAGCGCGCGCAGGCGGCCUCGCGCGCCCGACGUGAAAGCCCCCGGCUUAACCGGGGAGGGUCGUUGGGGACGGCGGGGCUUGAGGGCGGGAGAGGGUGGUGGAAUUCCCGGUGUAGUGGUGAAAUGCGUAGAGAUCGGGAGGAACACCCGUGGCGAAGGCGGCCACCUGGGCCGACCCUGACACUGAGACGCGAAGGCGUGGGGAGCGAACGGG